CCCUUAGAUGUUCUGGGCCGCACGCGCGCUACACUGAUGCAUUCAACGAGCCUAGCCUUGACCGAGAGGUCCGGGUAAUCUUUGAAACUGCAUCGUGAUGGGGCUAGAUUAUUGCAAUUAUUAAUCUUCAACGAGGAAUGCCUAGUAAGCGUGAUUCAUCAAAUCGCGUUGAUUACGUCCCUGCCCUUUGUACGCACCGCCCGUCGCUCCUACCGAUUGAGUGUGUUGGUGAGGAGUUCGGAUUGGCUCUUAGUGGUGGUUCGCCACCACCUAGAGCUGAGAAGUUCUCCAAACCGCCCCACUUAGAGGAAGGAGAAGUCGUAACA
rnacentral:rRNA from 1 species